AUUGAACGCUGGCGGCAGGCCUAACACAUGCAAGUCGAGCGAGAGGCGGACGGGUGAGUAAUGUCUGGGAAACUGCCUGAUGUAGGGGGAUAACUCCUGUAAACGGUAGCUAAUAUCCCCUACUCUCAGAUGUGCCCAGAUGGGAUUAGCUAUUAGGUGGGGUAAAGGCUCACCUAGGCGACGAUCCCUAGCUGGUCUGAGAGGAUGACCAGCCACACGGGAACUGAGACACGGUCCAGACUCCUACGGGAGGCAGCAGUGGGGAAUAUUGAACAAUGGGCGCAAGCCUGAUGCAGCCAUGCCGCGUGUGUGAAGAAGGCCUUCGGGUUGUAAAGCACUUUCAGCGGGGAGGCGUUACCCGCAGAAGAAGCACCGGCUAACUCCGUGCCAGCAGCCGCGGUAAUUC
rnacentral:rRNA from 1 species